GACAGAGGGGGCAAGCGUUGCUCGGAUUUACUGGGCGUAAAGGGCGCGUAGGCGGCAUAUUAAGUCAGCUGUGAAAUCUCCGAGCUUAACUCGGAACUGUCAGCUGAUACUGAUGUGCUAGAGUGCAGAAAGGGCAAUCAGAAUUCUUGGUGUAGCGGUGAAAUGCGUAGAUAUCAAGAGGAAUACCUGAGGCGAAGGCGGGUUGCUAGGCUGACACUGACGCUGAGGCGCGAAAGCCAGGGGAGCAAACGGG
rnacentral:rRNA from 1 species